GCCGGGUUAGCUCAGCUGGUAGAGCAGCGGUUUUGUAAACCGAAGGUCGCGGGUUCGAUUCCUGCACUCGGCACCA
rnacentral:tRNA from 2 species